GCAGCCGCGGUAAUACGGAGGGUGCAAGCGUUGUCCGGAAUCAUUGGGUGUAAAGGGUGCGUAGGCGGGCGUCUAAGUCUGGGGUGAAAUCUUGCCGCUUAACGGUAAAAUUGCCCUGGAUACUGGAUGUCUUGAGUGUAGAAGAGGCAGGUGGAAUUCGUAGUGUAGCGGUGAAAUGCAUAGAUAUUACGAAGAACAUCAGUGGCGAAGGCGGCCUGCUGGUCUACAACUGACGCUGAGGCACGAAAGCGUGGGGAGCGAACAGGAUUAGAUACCCUGGUAGUCCACGCCGUAAACGAUGCAUACUAGGUGUUGGCCUUUCGGGGCCAGUGCUGCAGUUAACGCAUUAAGUAUGCCACCUGGGGAGUACGUCGGCAACGAUGAAACUCAAAGGAAUUGACGGGGGCCCGCACAAG
rnacentral:rRNA from 1 species